GGGGAUAUAGCUCUGUGGUAGAGCAUUCAACUGCAGAUCGAGAGGUCCCUGGUUCGAACCCGGGUGUCCCCU
rnacentral:tRNA from 1 species